rnacentral:rRNA from 1 species
AACGUAGGAGACAACCGUUAUCCGGAGUUACUGGGCGUAAAGGGCGUGUAGGCGGUUGUGUAAGUUCGGCGUGAAAUCUCUCGGCUUAACCGGGAGUGGUCGUCGGAUACUGCACGACUAGAGGACGGUAGAGGCGUGUGGAAUUCCGGGUGUAGUGGUGAAAUGCGUAGAGAUCCGGAGGAACACCAGUGGCGAAGGCGACACGCUGGGCCGUACCUGACACUGAGGCGCGAUAGCAUGGGGAGCAAACAGG